GACGAACGCUGGCGGCGUGCCUAACACAUGCAAGUCGAGCGCGCAGCCAUCGGUAGCAAUACCGGUGGUGGGCGAGCGGCGAACGGGUGCGUAACACGUGGGCAACCUGCCCCAGACUCUGGGAUAACCCCGGGAAACCGGGGCUAAUACCGGAUACUCUCGGCCGGCCGCAUGAACGGCCGAGGAAAGCUCCGACGGUCUGGGAUGGGCCCGCGGCCGAUCAGGUUGUUGGGGGGGUAACGGCCGACCAAGGCGACGACGGGUAGCUGGUCUGAGAGGACGGCCAGCCACACUGGGACUGAGAUACGGCCCAGACUCCUACGGGAGGCAGCAGUGGGGAAUCUUGCGCAAUGGGCGAAAGCCUGACGCAGCGACGCCGCGUGAGGGAUGAAGGCCUUCGGGUUGUAAACCUCUUUCGGCAGGGACGAAGCGAAAGUGACGGUACCUGCAGAAGAAGCCCCGGCUAACUACGUGCCAGCAGCCGCGGUAA
rnacentral:rRNA from 1 species